AUAGAGAAGCCAGUCCACACGCUGACCGUUGCUGCCUGCCUCAGACUGUGGAGCCGGCGUGUCCCCUACACAGAAGGGGACACGAGAGUGGUCCCAGCUCCGCUGCUACAGAGCCUACGGUACAGAAUUGAGGGGUGGACUGGAUGGCUUUUUAGACACCUUUUAACCAAAAGGAUCUAAGCCAGCUUGAGACUCCACCGUGGAGGGGACACUGAGGGUGGCAAAGAAAUGGAUUAAAAAUGGUGGGUUAAGUAAUUCUUACCUUUAGAUGACACUGCUCGGAACCUUUCUGCACUGCAGUUCAAGGAAACCUUUGCUCGAUACUUUCGUCUGCCAGCUGCUGCUAAGGGGUAAAGCAAAUGAGG